GAUGAACGCUGGCGGCGUGCCUAAUACAUGCAAGUCGAGCGAACAGACGAGGAGCUUGCUCCUCUGAGGUUAGCGGCGGACGGGUGAGUAACACGUGGAUAACCUACCUAUAAGACUGGGAUAACUUCGGGAAACCGGAGCUAAUACCGGAUAAUAUAUUGAACCGCAUGGUUCAAUAGUGAAAGACGGUUUUGCUGUCACUUAUAGAUGGAUUCGCGCCGCAUUAGCUAGUUGGUAAGGUAACGGCUUACCAAGGCAACGAUGCGUAGCCGACCUGAGAGGGUGAUCGGCCACACUGGAACUGAGACACGGUCCAGACUCCUACGGGAGGCAGCAGUAGGGAAUCUUCCGCAAAGGGCGAAAGCCUGACGGAGCAACGCCGCGUGAGUGAUGAAGGUCUUCGGAUCGUAAAACUCUGUUAUUAGGGUAGAACAAAUGUGUAAGUAACUAUGCACGUCUUGACGGUACCUAAUCAGAAAGCCACGGCUAACUACGUG
rnacentral:rRNA from 1 species